AUUGAACGCUGGCGGCAGGCCUAACACAUGCAAGUCGAACGAGUGGCGGACGGGUGAGUAAUGUCUGGGAAACUGCCUGAUGGAGGGGGAUAACUACUGGAAACGGUAGCUAAUACCGCAUACCAUCAGAUGUGCCCAGAGGGGAUUAGCUUGUUGGUGGGGUAACGGCUCACCAAGGCGACGAUCCCUAGCGGGUCUGAGAGGAUGACCGGCCACACUGGAACUGAGACACGGCCCAGACUCCUACGGGAGGCAGCAGUGGGGAAUAUUGCACAAUGGGCGCAAGCCUGAUGCAGCCAUGCCGCGUGUAUGAAGAAGGCUUUCGGGUUGUAAAGUACUGUCAGCGGGGAGGCGUUACCCGCAGAAGAAGCACCGGCUAACUACGUGCCAGCAGCCGCGGUAAUUC
rnacentral:rRNA from 1 species